rnacentral:rRNA from 1 species
UACAGAGGGUGCAAGCGUUGUUCGGAAUUACUGGGCGUAAAGCGCGUGUAGGCUGCGGUGUAAGUCGGACGUGAAAGCCCUUGGCUUAACCAAGGAAGUGCGUCCGAUACUGCGUCGCUUGAGUGUCGGAGGGGGCGGCGGAAUUCCCGGUGUAGAGGUGAAAUUCGUAGAUAUCGGGAGGAACACCUGUGGCGAAGGGCGGCC